rnacentral:lncRNA from 1 species
CAAGUCCUGUGGCCAUGAAGUCGUCUCCUGCCUCGAUGUCAGUGAAUCCGGCACCUUCCUAGGCCUGGGCACAGUCACUGGCUCUGUUGCCAUCUACAUAGCUUUCUCUCUCCAGUGCCUCUACUACGUGAGGGAGGCCCAUGGCAUUGUGGUGACGGAUGUGGCCUUUCUACCUGAGAAGGGUCGUGGUCCAGAGCUCCUUGGGUCCCAUGAAACUGCCCUGUUCUCUGUGGCUGUGGACAGUCGUUGCCAGCUGCAUCUGUUGCCCUCACGGCGGAGUGUUCCUGUGUGGCUCCUGCUCCUGCUGUGUGUCGGGCUUAUUAUUGUGACCAUCCUGCUGCUCCAGAGUGCCUUUCCAGGUUUCCUUUAGCUUCCCUGCUUCCUGGGAAUCAGGAGCCUGGACACUGCCAUCUCUAGAGCAGAGUGGAGGCCUGGACUCCCUUUGCUCACUCCAUUCGGGUCCACAGCUGAGGUUGCCGCUGACAAGAUGAAUGGGCACUGCCUGCCCUUCUAGUGAAAAGGCUUGGCUAUGGCCCUGUGUGACUCCAGGUCCCAGGAACCUUGCCUUCGUCAUCUGUGGAUCCAUCCAGAACAGCGGUAUCUGAAGCCCAGGCCAUACUCCCUGCCUCCUUUCUUCUGCCUACCAGAGGCUCCAGAGUUGAGCUUGUCCUUAUCUAGAAACAUGUGAAGAUGCCCAAGAGCCUGGAGGCACUGCUGUCCUUCCUGCAGAAACAGUUUCUCCUCCUCCCCUCAGCCUUGUGGCCAGUUCCUCUUCACAUGAAGCCCCUGGCAUUUGCUGGGGAAGGGACUGGCCUGGUACUUGCUGUUAGGGCAGGAAGGGGCAAAAGGAAGACUUGGGUAGUAAUCUGGGGGUUCAGAUGGGUAGCACUAAGCCAGCUGGCCUAAAGAUGCAAUAAGUUCCUAGGUAGUCUACCCUUACCUUGAGGAAUGGGAAAAUGAACCUCAGCCCAUUAGGCAGGAAAAGUUGAUAUUUAAUAAACAAGGAAAGAGUGAACUGAGACCC